AUAACAUGCAUAUACAUUCAAUAUAUGAUUACUAUUAGUGAUAUAGUGAUUAUAUUUUUGGGAGACACAGACAGGAUUUAUUUGCUCUGCAAAUAUUGCAUGGUGCACACAUGCAUUCAGAGGCUUCCUGCUGUGAUGGGCUCUCCAAAGAUCUGCAGUUAUUAAUUGGAAAUCACUGUUCCAGAGGUUACCUUUUGAGUAGGGCAACCUUUAUUUUCCUGUCCCCUUCCAGUCUAUGUGUAUUCUUCCUUUAAGAGAAAGUUUGGUGUUAUAGUUUUCUCCACCAUGUUCCCAUCUAAUUGGCCUAGAUUCAGGUUACUUCCAAGCAGAUUCCCCAUCCCUUAUUUUGCUAAUAAUCAAACUUGCUUAGGAGGCAUGGUGUUUGGAAGUUGUACAUGAACGCUUAUUUCUGUUACAAAACUGGAAACACCCUUAACAAGAGGAACUAUGGCUGCUGAUUAUUCACGUGGAAUAUAAUCACAAUGACCCACACACAUUUCUUGGAGGAAAAAAUGUCAACCAGUGCAUGGCAGCUGGUUGAAUUUUUCCUUUAAUGUUCCCUUGCUACUUAUUAAUUCACUUUGUUGCUUGUGAGCUCCUAAGAGGAGAGAGAGACUGGCAGGAGCUAAAAAGUUUAAGCUGUUUUUUGUAAAAAAAAAUAGUAAAAGUAAAAUAAUGUCUAUAAGCUUGUUUUAGGCAAAUUUAGGUAAUUUCCUGGGAACCACUCUCCCAGUAUAGUGACCUAAUUCCCAAUUUGUAUUUUUUUCAAAUUCAUUGUUAAAUACCCAGUGAUAUUGCAGCCUCCCAGUUGCCCUCUCUGAAAUACCCUUACCAGCAUGUCCAUCAGAAUUGUAGAGAUGAAAAUAGUCUCCUAUGCUAUCUGAUAUGGUGGCCAUUAGCCAUGUGACUAUUGAGCCCUUGAUGUGUGGCUAGUGUGACUUAGAAGUUGACUAUAAAUUUUUAAUUUGCAUGAAUUUAUAUUUGCAAAACAUAUUAUACAUAAAUAUUACAUACUUUUUUUAAUACUAGAGAUUGAACCCAGGGCACUUUACCACUGAGCUACAUCCUGAGUCCUUUUUAUCUUUCAUUUUGAGACAGGAUCUCACUGAGUUGCUGAGGCUGGCUUUGAACUUGUGAUCUUCCUGCCUCAGCCUCCUGAGUCCCUGGGAUUAUAGGUGUGCAUCACUGCCUGGUGCAGCAUGGGCUUUAAAGGUAAAUCUCACUGUCUUGAAAUUGUCCUUAAGCCAUGUGGAUCCUUGACUAGCUUGGUGCCUUCAGACAGCCUUCCUCCUAGGAUAUUUCAGGUGAUGAGACUCUUUCCAGUUUCAAAUGGCCUCUAGAGAAAGAAAUUUCACUAACCUGUUUUGGUGUUUAGUCCUUUCUUCUGGAGGUCCCUACGGGAGGUAGCAGAUUCAAAACUGGCAUGAGUCAGAUCUGGGCACAGAUCUCAGCUUCAGAUGGCACAAUCUCUUUACAUUUUAUGGGGCAAAUACUUAGCACAUGUCUCUCUUUUGUAACAAAUCACAUGGUGAGAAUGAAGGAAUGGUUUAAAAUUCACUCAGUAAUAUUUCUGAGUCAUCCCUAAGGGCAGGGCAUGGUGCUAGGCACUGGGAGAAAGGGAGCAGGAGCAGGGUAGAGAGGAAGGAGACAUGAUUCUUUCCUUGUCAGGACUCCUGAUCUAAUUAAGAAGGUGGCUGAAUCACCACAGUGGUGGCAUUUCUUUUCAGUAGGCUGCAAUUCCAGGUGAUCACUAGAAGAGUGGGUCCAAAUUGUGUAACCUCCAAACCAGGGAUCAUCACAUACUACGAGAGAAUUACUGGCCCCAAUUUCUCUCCCCUCCUGGCAUCCAUGGUCUCCAUGUAGUGGGAAUGUCCUUUCCUGUCCUCUGGCUUUGGGCUUGCUUUGACCCUUCAAAUAAAGUACAAAAGGCCUGCUGAAGUUUUGCUGGCCCUUGUGUGUUUUUGCAUUCACCAGGAGAAGUACAUCUCUCAGGCAGCUAUGGCAUCUCCAGCCUGGACUGCAGAAUGAGCACACUUGGAACAGAGAUGCAGGGAGAGAUACCGCUCAGUGGUUAGCAUAGCAUUAGAGAAGUAUCUAUAUUAGACAGCUACAGGAUUCUGCUGCAGGGAUCCUUAUUCCAAUGUGGCGUUUCGGUAGCAAUCCUUAUUCCAAUGUGGAGUUUCGGUAGCAACCGCUAAUCCAUUCCUUUAUUAGGUUGUUGGUCCAGCUGCUACAAGUGACACCCAGCCCAAUAGUGGGUUAAGAAUGUUCUCUGAGUUGUCAUGUAAUAAAGCCAAUAAAGAAGUCUGGUGUUUCCUACACACACCAUCAUGUAGAAAAGACAGUAGAAUGAAUUGGACAUAACUUUUCUAUGCUCAUAUGUGACAUAUGACUAAUGUAACUCUACAUCAUGUACUCCACAUCAAGAAUGGGAUCCUAGGCCUGGGGUUGUGGCUCAGUGGUACAGCGCUUGCCUAGCAUGUGUGAGUCACUGGGUUUGAUUCUCAGCACCACAUAUAAAUAAAUAAAAUAAAGGUCCAUUGACAGCUAAAAAAUAUUUAAAAAAAAAAAGAAUGGGAUCCUAAUGAGAGUAAGUUGUACUGCAUGUAUGUAUGUCAAAAGACACACCACACUUCUUCUGUCAUGUAUGACUAAAAAUAAAUAAUAAAGAAUUAAAAAAAGACACUCCACUGUCAUGUAUAUCUAAAAAGAAUAAAUACAAAUAAUAAUAAAAAGUCUGGUGGUUCAUAUGUCAGAGACCCAGGCUCUAUCUAUCUUCUUGCUCCACCUUCCUCAGGGUAUGGCCCUCAUCUACAUGAAGCCCUCUUAGUAUUUCCAGUCGAGAAGCCCCUUGAGGAAAGAGAUUCUGUCCUAGUCAGCUCUUAACCCCAAUACCAGAAACGGUGUCUGACUUAUAACCCAGACUUAGCUCAAGCUACAUCUUUUUCAUGGGUUCUCCUUAGAUGAACUUUCCCUCCCUGAACCCACACCUCCUUUCUGUAUAGUUUUUGCCCAAUAGUACAUUGGCCCAUUUCAUCAUCAUCUUUUUUUUUUUUUUUUUUUUUUUUUGGUACCAGGGAUUGAACCCAGGGGUGCUUAACCACUGAGCCACAUCCCUAGCCCUUUUUAUACUUUUUAUUUUUUAAUUUAGAGACAAGAUCUUGCUGAGUUGCUUGGGGCCUUGCAAAAUUAUUGAGGCUGGCUGUGAAUUCACAAUCCUCCUGCUUCAGCCUCUCGAGCUGCUGGGGUUGCAGGUGAAUGCCACCUCGCCCAGCUCCAUCACCUUCUUCUUGUAUGUUUUAUUCCCCAGGCUGAGGAUCAAACUCAGGAGUACUCUAGAGAACUCUGUGAGGAUGGCCUUAGGCCUGAGCCUAAGCAACUCAUUUUAAAAACUCCAGUUUGAAAUCUGCAGUCUCAUCAGGCAGCCUAAUGGAGCUUCCAGGAUGGCCCUCAGGCCCCCACCUCAAUAAACUCAGAGUGAAGCCUCUGGCAGAAGAGGGAAAGGUGCCCUAUAAUUGGGAAAGGCGAAAAGAUCCACCAGAUGUUUUGUUUUUAAAUAUUUAUGUUUUAGUUGUAGUUGGACACAAUAUCUUUAUCUAUUUCCAUGUGGGGCUGAGGAUCGAACUCAUGGCCUCACAUGUGCUAGGCAAGCACUCUACUGCUAAGCCACAACUGCAGCCCCCAAACCAGAAGUUUUAAUCCCAGAGUAAAUGAUGUCACUGAGAAAUCCAGUGGCAGCUGAUAAGGAUUGAAAGGGGGGUCGAAAGCCCCCAAAUAUAGUAUAAAUAAUAGAGCAAAUGAACAGACAUUUAUCCAGCCAAUACUGAUACACAGAAGCUGGAGAGCUUGAUGAGGACCUGGACUGACAUCCCAUCACUUGUCAUUGUUUGCCUGAUCCUCUGCAGGUCUCACCGCUCUCAAACUCUACAGCCACAUCUUGACCCUGGUGAGAGUUGCAACUUCUCCCUACAACCCUCUCCUCAACCUCAACUAGCAGUCAGCUCCACCCCAGAAGCCUGCCUUGGUUCCUGAUCUGAUCACCAUGGUCUGAGUGAGUGUGCAUCUGCUGGACUUAAAAGUCUAAGGCUUGAGACUUUUGAUCUGACACCCCCACCCCCCGCGCCUGCCAGGUAGGCGGAACUGUGACCACCGACAGAAAAAGCCCAGUGGCCCGCGGAGGGGCAGAGCUGCCAACCACUCCUGCAAGGUAGUCGGGCCUGCGACCCACUGGCAGAACAGGCACAGCGGCCUGCUGAGAGGCAGAGCCGCCCCCUCCCCCCGCGCCUCCAAGGUAGACGGAACUGUGACCACCAACAGAACAGGCCAGACCUGCAACCGACAGACAGAACAGGCCCAGUGGCCUGAGGAAGGGUAGAGCCACCCCCCCCACGCCUGCAAGGUAGGCGGACCUGCGACCCACAGGCAGAACAGCCCCAGAGGCCUGCAGAGGGGCAGUGCCGCUGCCUGCGCCUGCAAAGUAGGUAGAACUGCGACCACCGACAGAACAAGCCUAGCGGCCCGCAGAGGGACAGAGCUGCCGCCCGCGCCUGCAAGGUAGGCGGAC
rnacentral:lncRNA from 1 species